rnacentral:rRNA from 1 species
CAGGCUACUCAUUCCAACAAGAUAGAUGCAUCUUUCUUUUAGGGAGCUCAUUUCCUUAGUUACUCCAGAGUUAAGCGUGCUUGGCUGGGAGUAGUCCAGGGAUGGGUGACCUCCUGGGAAGUUUCUCAGGGUGUGCAUGA